rnacentral:rRNA from 1 species
CCUACGGGAGGCAGCAGUGGGGAAUCUUGCACAAUGGAGGAAACUCUGAUGCAGCGAUGCCGCGUGAGUGAAGAAGGCCCUUGGGUUGUAAAGCUCUUUCGUCGGGGAAGAAAAUGACUGUACCCGAAUAAGAAGGUCCGGCUAACUUCGUGCCAGCAGCCGCGGUAAUACGAAGGGACCUAGCGUAGUUCGGAAUUACUGGGCUUAAAGAGUUCGUAGGUGGUUGAAAAAGUUAGUGGUGAAAUCCCAGAGCUUAACUCUGGAACUGCCAUUAAAACUUUUCAGCUAGAGUAUGAUAGAGGAAAGCAGAAUUUCUAGUGUAGAGGUGAAAUUCGUAGAUAUUAGAAAGAAUACCAAUUGCGAAGGCAGCUUUCUGGAUCAUUACUGACACUGAGGAACGAAAGCAUGGGUAGCGAAGAGGAUUAGAUACCCUCGUAGUCCAUGCCGUAAACGAUGUGUGUUAGACGUUGGAAAU